UGUUAGUGUAGUGUAACCUCUAAACUAGUGUAGUGUGUAAACUGGCGCAAAUGUUCAAGAAAUCGAAAAUAAAUUUUCGUCAAAGAGUCGCGACAAGUGAUUCUGACGCGGAAAAGAAUCACAUUGGAUUCUACCGGAGCCGAAAGAGCAAAAGAAACACAAAAUACCCAAAUCUUCCUUCGUGCUGACUGCUGAUUUUCGUCCACGAAGAAGGCGUCCAAAGGUUCACCUGACCACCACAACUCUUUUCGGAGUGUCUGAAGUUCGUGUACGUGCUGGGAAGCCACUUACAAUGAAACUGGGCAUUACCGGUUCUCCAACUCCCAUUGUCAUCUGGGCUAAAGAAGGAAAACCCAUUCCAAGGGCUCGCACCUCAUUACUAUACUACACUAGAGCUCCCAAAAGCAGAUCAUUGUGACACUGGAAACUACCUUGUGACUGUUGAAAACGAACAUGGCAGAGAUUCUGCAGAUAUUCCGGUCUUAGUUAUUGACAAGCCUGGACCCCCGGACGGUCCUUUGGAGGUCAGUGAUGCGUUUGCGGACUCCUGCCAAUUGGCUUGGAAACCACCUCAGGACAAAGGAAACUAACCAAUAAUCGUUGAGUCUUAUUAAUUACAAUUUUUAUUCUUUGAUUAAGGCUUGUUUACCAUGAAUACAACUAUUGAAAAUGAAAUUGUUGUUCUUGGGCAUAUUUUGUUUAGAAAUCAUUUUCAAUGAUUUAAACUGAACUUAUUUAAUGACAGAAAAUAUAUUUGUGUUAGUGUUUGACACAACAAUAUAUCUCUUAAGUUACCUAUUUCAUUCAAUUGAAAACAAUAUUCAAGUUUUAGAUGUUGCCACGUAAACCGAUUAUGGAAUGUACUCUUGAUUUAGGUUACACAGUAGAAAAAUUCCAGGAGGGCUUGUACUUCUGGGAAAAGGUGCCUGGCAUGCCGAUGUGCAAGUCCAUAAUAGUCACUGGACUGAAGACUGGAGUCAAGUUCAAGUUCAGGGUCAUGGCUGAGAACAUAUACGGAAUAGGAGAGCCCUUAGAGACAGAUUUCCCAGUGUUAGUCAAGAAUAGAUUUGAGUCCCCAAAGGUUCACCUGACCAACACAUCUCUUUCUUGAGCGUCUGAAGUUUGUGUAUGUGCUGGGGAGCCACUUACGAUGAAACUGGGCAUUACCGGUUCUCCUACUCCCACUGUCAUCUGGACCAAAAAAGGAAAACCCAUCCCAAGGGCGCGCACCUCCAACACUAAUGACUGUACUACACUAGAGCUCCUAAAAGCACAUCAUGGGGACACUGGAAACUACCUUGUGAUUGUUGAAAACGAUCAUGGCAGAGAUUUUGCAGAUAUUCCGUUCAUCAUUAUUGACAAGUGUGGACCCCCCGAAGGUCCUCUGGAGGUCAGUGAUGUGUUUGCGGACUCCUGCUGAUUGGCAUGGAAACCACCUCAGGACAAAAGAAACUUACCAAUUAUCGGUUACACAGUAGAGAAAUGCCAGGAGGGCUCAGACUUCUGGGAAAAGGUGCCUGGCAUACCGAUGUGCAAGUCCAGAAUAGUCACUGGACUGAAGACUGGAGUCAAGUUCAAGUUCAGGGUCAUGGCUAAGAACAUAUACGGAAUAGCAGAGCCCUUAGAGACAGACUGCCCAGUGUUAGUCAAGAAUCGAUUUGAGCCGGCUGCCAAGAAGACAGUAAUUUGGAAGAAGAUUCUGAAGAAGAUACACCAGUUGUUGAUACAGUUGCUCUGUCCACAGCUACAACCAACAAGUCCAAACCCACAACCAGCCAGUCCAAAGCCACAACCAGCCAGUCCAAAGUUUCAACCAAAGCAACAACCAGCUUUGUCGGAAAGAAAGCGCAGAAAAGAAAAAUGUGGUCUGUUGAAGAACAAGCUGCUGUUGAGCGACAACUGGGAAAAUAUCUUCACACUUCAAAGCUGCCAGAUAAACACGAGAUUGAGGAGAGCCGAAAAAAAGAACCUGUAUUGUUGAACAGACCUUGGCAACAAGUGAAAAGCUACAUUAAAAUAUGUAAAGUUUCAAUGCAGAGAAGAUUAAACAGUGCAAACUAAACAAGCUGUGUGUUUUGUGUCAAGCCAGCAGGGGUGAACUACUGGUUUAUUUCCUUGAAAAGCAUGUCUUAGUUACAAGGCUUAUUGUGUAUAAACAUUCAUCACUAUUUAUCUUUUGUUCGUAUUUUACAUUAACAUUCGACCUUGUACUCAUGUCCUUCGGAUUUUUUGUUGCGCAUAAUCAAAAAGGAUAAAUGCUAGGAAUGAAACUUUACAAACAUUAAUAUCCCAGCAUGAGAACUUAUUCCCCUGUGUAUUUUGGUCCUUUUUUCUACAUAAUUGGAGUUAUGAGACAACUGGAAUAUAGGGGAAUCAGUGUCCUUAGGACACGUGUUGAAUUGUUCUUUUUUAUCUUCAUUUUAUAUGCGUGAUGUGCUCACAUAAAGUUUUGUUUUAUUUUUGGGACUGCUUUUCAUGUGAGUCCAAUUUCUGUAUUAUCUACAUGUAGUGCUCCAUCAAGGCCUUAAUGGAAGGUUGCCCCGCCCUUCCUUUCCAAUGAUUUGUAACUUGAUUUGUAACAUUAUUGACAGUGUGUUAUGGCGCAUAUGUAGUAGCAGCUGUUUUUCUUAGUAUAAAUUACUUUUUUGGAUUUGUGUUGCAUAUUACUCAAAAGGAUUUACUGCUAGAGUAGUAUACAUAUAAAUGUAUUGAUCAGCAUCUGCACUUUUAUUAUACGCUUUUGUAACAACAGGCAUGUUCUUUGUUAAAUUUAUUUUGCAAAAGUACAACAAACCUUUAACCCACAAUGGUAUCUUUAAGCAGCUUUUAGCUCCAUAUUUUGAAGAAAUGGCUUUUCUUCUUGCCCCAUCUUCAGCCUUUGAACUACAUGUAGCUUAAAGUUAAAACUUUUUCUGUAAGCUAGUUUCAUGUGAUUUCAAUGUCUGUAUUAUCUACAUGCAGUGCUCCAGCUAGGCCUUAAUGGAAGGGUGUCCCGCCCUGCCCUUCCGAAGUCCCGCCCUGCCCUUCUGAGGCCCCGCCCUGCCCUUCUGAGGCCCCGCCCUGCCCUUUUAUUAAAAAAAUGAGUUAAUAGCUUUUUUUUAUCUCCUAAAGAUGUUUCAUUAAUAAACCCAUAUGUUUUGUGCUGGGUUACUUGUUUGAAUAAUUAUAUUUCGUCAAUAUAAUGAUAAAUUGAUGACUGUAAUUGGUUUAUGUGUGGACUAUUUCUUAAUAUUUGAUGUGUUUAAUUUCACUAAAUGUUACAAUUUAUAAGUUUCAAGAGACAUAUAUGUUGGAGUGUGUUAUUGUAUGAGUGUUGGUAUUUUUCGCCUCAUUACGUGUGGACAUGAAUGUCAAUAGAUUGGAAUUAGAAGAUGAUAAUGUCGUACAUGAUCUCAUGACCAUACUAUCAUUUUGUUUUGACUUAUUAAUAUAAUGCAACAUACAUGUCGUCUACUGUUAUUACAUAAAUAUAGUACAACAUACAUGUCAUCUACUGAAUGUAAUAAUUUGUUUGACAGACAUUUUGUGGAUUUUUCAAGACAGCAUAUUUUCCAAAAUACAUAAAGAUCACUUACGUAACUUUUUGCAUUCAAAAUAUUUCAGUGUUACAAUUAUGGUAACUGCUUCUUUCUGAUUGUUUUAAAAAAGACAUCUCAAUUGAGAGUUGUGUUUUGUUUUACAAAUUUUAUUUUAAUACUAAUAAGAAAAUUGGAAUACCGAAAAAUAUUUAUUAUUUUAAUAAAACAGUGUUCAGUAACACAAAAGCUGAUAAGUCAUAUAACUGACAUUUUUAGCUUUAUAAUAUUUAGUA